rnacentral:rRNA from 1 species
UCGAGAAUCAUUCACAAUGGGCGAAAGCCUGAUGAUGCGACGCCGUGUGAGCGAAGAAGGCCUUCGGGUUGUAAAGCUCUUUCGCCUGAGAACAAGAGAAGUCGACGAAUAAUCGGCUAAUUUGAGGGUAUCAGGUAAAGAAGCACCGGCUAACUCCGUGCCAGCAGCUGCGGUAAUACGGAGGGUGCAAGCAUUAAUCGGAUUUACUGGGCGUAAAGAAUGCGUAGGCGGUUUUGCAAGUCAGAUGUGAAAUUCCGGAGCUUAACUCCGGGACUGCAUUUGAAACUACAGAACUAGAGGAUAGACGGAGAAAGUAGAAUUCCAUAUGUAGCGGUGGAAUGCGUAGAUAUAUGGAGGAAUACCGGUGGCGAAGGCGACUUUCUAGUUUAUUCCUGACGCUGAGGUAUGAAAGCUAGGGGAGCAAACAGGAUUAGAUACCCCCGUAGUCC